GAGCAAGGGCAGCGGGUAGAGGCCCUGGGGAGCAAAGAGAAGUCAGCGCACACAGAUGAUCCGACAAGCCGACCUUCCUGCAGACCCUGAGCCUGUGUCUUAGGACUUGGCAGCCCUAAUCUCCCCAGGAGAGGUCCUCAUCGUCCCCUUCUUCCUUUACGUUCUCAACUCCACUCAGCACGUUUCGUUCGUGCUCAUUGUCCUCCCGCAUCCCUGGAAUUCAAGGCCAGCAAACCCAGGCACAAAGGUUUAAAAAACUUGUCCCACUUCCAGAUGGGCCAAAGAUAGGAUUCAGACUCGAGGGUGUGUCUUAUUGAAAUUGAACAAAAUACCUAAUUUCUAGAGAGUAUAAGAAAAGUUUAAAAUACUUUAUGGAUGUGUUGUUUCGACAGCAAAAUAUCUACUCAGAAUCCUAUAGCUAUUUCAAAAUCCAAGUAACUUAGAAAAAAAGGAAACAGAAAACCUAUAUAGUCAAAUCUUUUGGUGAUUUUGUAUUCAAUGACUGAAACUUCCCAGUGAUUAUUGGGCUUUUUAGCUGGAAUUGAACUUGAAUCGGGGCAGAGCAGCACAAUGCUUCAGAACUUCAGCGACUCUGAGCCCUGG
rnacentral:lncRNA from 1 species